CGGAAUGAGUACACUUUAAAUCCUUUAACAAGGAUCCAUUGGAGGGCAAGUCUGGUGCCAGCAGCCGCGGUAACUCCAGCUCCAACAGCGUAUAUUAAAGCUGUUGCGGUUAAAAAGCUCGUAGUUGGUUCUGUGUGCCACGCUGUCGGUUCACCGCCUGCCGGUGCAACUGACAUGUCGUGGGAUGUCUUGCCGGAGGGGGCCGAAACCCUUCCCUGGGUUGGGCUUAGGUCCUCGCAAUGCUGCCAGGGUGCUCUUUACCGAGUGUCGGGGCAGGCCGGCAAGAUUACUUUGAACAAAUUAGAGUGCUUAAAGCGGGCCUAAUGUUGCCUAAAUAGUUGUGCAUGGAAUAAUGGAAUAGGACCUUGUUACUGUUUUGUUGGCUUUCGGUGAUCAAGGUAAUGAUCAAUGUGGACUGGCGGGGGCAUUCGUAUUGCGACGUUAGAGGUGAAAUUCUUGGAUCGUCGCAAGACGAACUAGAGCGAAAGCAUUUGCCAAGUAUGUCUUAGUUGAUCAAGAACGAAAGUUAGAGGUUCGAAGGCGAUCAGAUACCGCCCUAGUUCUAACCAUAAACGAUGUCGGCCAGCAAUCCGCCAAUGUUCCUCCGAUGACUCGGCGGGCAACCCCAGGGAAACCAAAGCUUUUGGGUUCCGGGGGAAGUAUGGUUGCAAAGCUGAAACUUAAAGGAAUUGACGGAAGGGCACCACCAGGAGUGGAGCCUGCGGCUUAAUUUGACUCAACACGGGA
rnacentral:rRNA from 1 species